rnacentral:lncRNA from 1 species
CCCACGCCUGCCGCGGGGGUGGCUCGCGAUGGCAGUCGGGGUUCGAGUCCCGCCUGGGGGUUCCAGAAACAUCUCUGCAUGCAUAGUUAUUUACCUUGGUGCCAGACCGGAACUUGGGGGCUGUUUUCAUUUCUAGGUGAAAGCUCCUUGGCUUUGUGUAACCAUCGAUUUACUCUUAAAAAAGAACUGCACAGUGGCCAAGUUGCCAUGAGGAGGUGGGUAAAUAGCAGAAUAG